CAGUCAUCAUCCGUGGUGCCCAGAUUGUUUCCAGGUUACAGGGGUAGCCCCAUCUCACCUGGUUGACAAGACAUGACUAAAUAUUAGCUAUGCUAAUUUGAAUCAAAUUCAUACAAUGUGUCCGGAUGCUUUCUAUCUACAUUUUGUUUCAGCAGAACUUCCUGACCUUGUAAAAAAAGUGCGCACAAAUCACAUAACUACAAAAUCAAAACAUGAUACUAUCUUCCAAGUAAAGAUAAGCCAUGCUUAGGGAACAUGUAAAACACAUUGCCUGCUUUUCACUGAACUAGUGAAGGCGCAUACAAUACCGACUUCUAGCACACAAAAAUUAACUAAAACAUCCAUCCAAUGCAGAGUAAAAUAUAUCUGUUUCUCAAAGAACGAAAAUUACACAGACCACGUCCAAGAUCAAAUACUGCAACUUAAAUUCGAAUUUGAAACACGAUGACUUUAUACUGGCACGGUCGACCAAGUCACCUUCACAGAGAGGGCGGCAUGCUGAAGCAUUAUUUGUUGACAGGCACAUCCAUGAAUGUUUGCUUUGAAGUAGCAACUGCGUUCAAGAUGAUCAUUUUUAGAGCCGUUCUGACCUACCUUGAACUUCAACUGCAUCCAAGUAUCCAUCUUCACAGCAAUCACGCAUCUUCUUAAGCCACAUGACUCAGCAGUAGUGCCACGAAAGAGAGGAAUUUCCUGAUCUGAUCCGCCGACAAACACAAACGAACUGAGCGAUAAAUUGAAUCCAUUCUGCACUUUCAAUACGAGAACAUCUAUUGUUGCUUCCACUGCAUUGUAAACACGUGCUAAAGUGAUGUCAACCGCACCACAAUUGCCAUGAAUGCGAUGUGUGAAUGACACAGAAGGUAUGGUUAGGUCACAAUAAUCUGUUGCGCCGUCGAUCAAUGUUAGAUCAUCUUCUUCUUUCUCUCCUGUCUUGAUCCUCAUGUCAAAUUCAACUAGAACAGGGGAAUUCAUUGCAAUGCCUCGCUUAGGGCCAGUCAUCUCAAUGAAAGAACCCUG
rnacentral:lncRNA from 1 species